GACGAACGCUGGCGGCGUGCCUAACACAUGCAAGUCGAGCGGAGUUUUUCGGAUUGAGACCUUCGGGAGGAUUUCUGAGAAACUUAGCGGCGGACGGGUGAGUAACGCGUGGGCAAUCUGCCUCUUACAGGGGGAUAACACAGGGAAACCUGUGCUAAUACCGCAUAAAACUGCUCUGUGGCAUCACGGAGUAGCCAAAGGAGCAAUCCGGUGAGAGAGGAGCCCGCGUCUGAUUAGCUAGUUGGUGAGGUAACGGCUCACCAAGGCAACGAUAGUUAUCCGGCCUAAGAGGGUGAACGGACACAUUGGGACUGAGAUACGGCCCAGACUCCUACGGGAGGCAGCAGCUAAGAAUAUUCCGCAAUGGAGGAAAACUCUGACGGAGCGACGCCGCGUGGAUGAUGAAGGUUUUCGGAUCGUAAAGUUCUUUAAGUGUGGAAGAAGAUGACGGUAACCCC
rnacentral:rRNA from 1 species